rnacentral:tRNA from 1 species
GCCCUCGUGGAGGAACUGGCAGACUCGCAUCCUUGAGGUGGAUGUGCUCGCAAGAGCGUGUGGGUUCAACUCCCACCGAGGGCA